CCUGCAAAUCGAAAGCUCUUGAAAGAAAGAAAGAGGCAAAGAGAGAGACAGACAAAAAGAGAAGCAGGUCUCGAUUGUUUGUCUCUCUCUUUCUC
rnacentral:ribozyme from 1 species